GACGAACGCUGGCGGCGUGCUUAACACAUGCAAGUCGAACGGAAAGGCCCUGCUUUUGUGGGGUGCUCGAGUGGCGAACGGGUGAGUAACACGUGAGUAACCUGCCCUUGACUUUGGGAUAACUUCAGGAAACUGGGGCUAAUACCGGAUAGGAGCUCCUGCUGCAUGGUGGGGGUUGGAAAGUUUCGGCGGUUGGGGAUGGACUCGCGGCUUAUCAGCUUGUUGGUGGGGUAGUGGCUUACCAAGGCUUUGACGGGUAGCCGGCCUGAGAGGGUGACCGGCCACAUUGGGACUGAGAGACGGCCCAGACUCCUACGGGAGGCAGCAGUGGGGAAUAUGGCACAAUGGGCGGAAGCCUGAUGCAGAAACGCCGCGUGCGGGAUGACGGCCUUCGGGUGGUAAACCGCUUUCGCCUGUGACGAAGCGUGAGUGACGGUAAUGGGUAAAGAAGCACCGGCUAACUACGUG
rnacentral:rRNA from 1 species